rnacentral:rRNA from 1 species
GACGAACGCUGGCGGCGUGCUUAACACAUGCAAGUCGAACGGAAAGGCCCUGCUUUUGUGGGGUGCUCGAGUGGCGAACUGGUGAGUAACACUUGAGUAACCUGCCCUUGACUUUGGGAUAACUUCAGGAAACUGGGGCUAAUACCGGAUAGGAGCUCCUGCUGCAUGGUGGGGGUUGGAAAGUUUCGGCGGUUGGGGAUGGACUCGCGGCUUAUCAGCUUGUUGGUGGGGUAGUGGCUUACCAAGGCUUUGACGGGUAGCCGGCCUGAGAGGGUGACCGGCCACAUUGGGACUGAGAUACGGCCCAGACUCCUACGGGAGGCAGCAGUGGGGAAUAUUGCACAAUGGGCGGAAGCCUGAUGCAGCAACGCCGCGUGCGGGAUGACGGCCUUCGGGUUGUAAACCGAUUUCGCCUGUGACGAAGCGUGAGUGACGGUAAUGGGUAAAGAAGCACCGGCUAACUACGUG